UACGAGAGCCCCGAGCGUUAUCCGGAAUUAUUGGGCGUAAAGGGUGCGUAGGUGGCUGUGUUAGUCGUGUGUCAAAUACCUGGGCUCAACCUAGGAAAGGCAUGCGAAACGGCACGGCUUGAAUAUGUGAGAGGUGUGCGGAAUUUUAGGUGUAGGGGUGAAAUCCGUUGAUAUCUAAGAGAACACCAAAUGCGAAGGCAGCACACUGGCACAUUAUUGACACUCAAGCACGAAAGCGUGGGUAGCGAAUGGG
rnacentral:rRNA from 1 species